AUACUUUGGAGAAGUCCGCUUAUUGCGGGUGCCGAAGGGGCAAAGCAAGGUAACUUGUCAAUCUCUCAGGCAAAAGGACAAAGU
rnacentral:ncRNA from 1 species